AUCCACCAUUCUUAACACCGUGACCAAAGGGGCAGUGGCCUCUACAACACUGGAACAUCGAGACCAGAACCGCCUAUUUGAGACUAUGUUGUCCACUUUUAUACCGGUACUGGACUUCGAGAGGCGGUCAUUUAACCACUCUUCACAGGUAAACAAUCUCUUUAAUGCACCUUCAGAUUCUCGAAUGGAGUCCACAGCUAAGUAAUCGGUCGCAAAGCGGGUUAUGGCAGGCCUGAUUAUCUCUUUUUUCUUAGAGUGUUCUCUAAA
rnacentral:lncRNA from 1 species